CUACGGGAGGCAGCAGUAAGGAAUAUUGCGCAAUGGAGGCAACUCUGACGCAGCCAUGCCGCGUGCAGGAAGAAGGCCUUAUGGGUCGUAAACUGCUUUUAUUUAGGAAUAAACCCUCGCUCGUGAGCGAGGCUGAAGGUACUGAAUGAAUAAGCACCGGCUAACUCCGUGCCAGCAGCCGCGGUAAUAGGGAGGGUGCAAGCGUUAUCCGGAUUUAUUGGGUUUAAAGGGUGCGCAGGCGGGCUAUUAAGUCAGUGGUGAAAUCCCGGGGCUCAACUCCGGAACUGCCAUUGAUACUGAUAGUCUUGAGUUUGGUUGAAGUGGGCGGAAUGUAGCAUGUAGCGGUGAAAUGCAUAGAUAUGCUACAGAACACCAAUCGCGAAGGCAGCUCACUAAGCCAAAACUGACGCUCAUGCACGAAAGCGUGGGGAUCAAACAGGAUUAGAUACCCCGGUAGUC
rnacentral:rRNA from 1 species